GAAUCACACCUGCCUAGUCCCUCCCCGUGACGGAGGGAGCGGGGGAACCACCGGGUCAGGGAUGGACCCAGGGGCGAAUCGGAAGUGGACUCCGUAGCGCAGCUCUUUCGGCGCGAGCCCGUCAGCUAACCCCGUCGGCCUGAGAAGGAGAAUCU
rnacentral:sRNA from 2 species